rnacentral:rRNA from 1 species
AUUGAACGCUGGCGGAAUGCUUUACACAUGCAAGUCGAACUGCAGCACGGGGCAACCCGGUGGCGAGUGGCGAACGGGUGAGUAAUACAUCGGAACGUGCCCAAUCGUGGGGGAUAACGUAGCGAAAGCUACGCUAAUACCGCAUACGAUCUACGGAUGAAAGCGGGGGAUCGCAAGACCUCGCGCGAAUGGAGCGGCCGAUGGCAGAUUAGGUAGUUGGUGGGGUAAAGGCUCACCAAGCCGACGAUCUGUAGCUGGUCUGAGAGGACGACCAGCCACACUGGGACUGAGACACGGCCCAGACUCCUACGGGAGGCAGCAGUGGGGAAUUUUGGACAAUGGGCGCAAGCCUGAUCUAGCCAUUCCGCGUGCAGGAUGAAGGCCUUCGGGUUGUAAACUGCUUUUGUACGGAACGAAAAGGCUCUGGUUAAUACCCGGGGCUCAUGACGGUACCGUAAGAAUAAGCACCGGCUAACUACGUGCCAGCCGCCGCCGUAA